AUUGAACGCUGGCGGCAGGCUUAACACAUGCAAGUCGAACGAGUGGCGGACGGGUGAGUAAUGAUUGGGAAUCUAGCUUAUGGAGGGGGAUACCUACGGGAAACUGUAGCUAAUACCGCGUAACAUAGGAUGAGCCCAAGUGGGAUUAGGUAGUUGGUGAGGUAAAGGCUCACCAAGCCGACGAUCUCUGGCUGGUCUGAGAGGAUGACCAGCCACACUGGGACUGAGACACGGCCCAGACUCCUACGGGAGGCAGCAGUGGGGAAUAUUGCGCAAUGGGGGCAACCCUGAUGCAGCCAUGCCGCGUGUAUGAAGAAGGCCCUAGGGUUUUAAAGUACUUUCAGCGGGGAGGCGUUACCGACAGAAGAAGCACCGGCUAACUCCGUGCCAGCAGCCGCGGUAAUUC
rnacentral:rRNA from 1 species